UAUUAUAUAAAGGAACAGCUGAGGAUAAAUAAGUAAAUACACUUUUCGUGUCCCCUUAGAAAAAGACAAUAAUACCCUCCUACCCCAGACUUCGGUCGAAACCCUAGAGAUUCACUAAGCGCCCAAUCUCUCCCUCCUCUCAACUCACGCCUUUUCUCUCUCCUCUCAACUCCAUGGUAAUUCUGCACAUCCCAAACCUCCCCCCGUCUUCUUCCCCGGUCACUGAAGAACCCUAACCAAUUUCGAAGAUCAAUGAAAAAUCAUUGAUGGUAAGGUUCACCCUUUUCCCUCUCAAAUAGCAAUGGUGUUUUCUCAUGCUUUUAAUGGCGGAAUUCUCCAUCGAAAAACUCAUCUUUGAGCUGUACAACGUGACAUAUGAUCAUCGAUCACUUAUCAUCGCCGGACGCCGUCGUAUUCUCAUCUCCGCCGGCAUCACUACCCUCGCGCCACUCCCCAGAUGUGGCUUGAUUUGAUUGCAAAGGCAAAAGAAGGAGGUGUGUGAUUGAAACAUACACAUUUUGGAAUGGACCUAAGCCUGUGAGAGGAGAGGAGACUGGGACAAAAUUACUUGACAGCCUAUGUUUCUCCAGGGAUAGAUUUCCCUUUCUCUCUCCUCUCCCAUGUUAACGGUAAUUCAUUUCUACUAUUUCAUAUUAUCAAUUUGAUUCCUGCACUAAAUCAGUUGAAUUUCUAAUUGCGAUUCAAAAAAUUGAAAAUUUGAACUUGAUUAAACUGUGUAGGAAUUGGUAAAGUAGCUGCUGCUUAUUAUUUUAAGAACUUGAUUCAACGAAAUGUUCAUGGGAAGGUCGAUCGGGUUCUUUUAGUCAGGAAUUUAAGGAGAUGCUAUUGGAAUCGUUAAUUCGAGCGGAAUUUCCGGUUCUUAGUUUUGUUGUUGAUGCUGAAUUUGUAAAGAAGAAUUCAUGGCCUGAACUUGCUCUAUUGUUUCCACUUCUCAUCAGUUAUUGUUGUGGUUGGCGGUUUUUUAAGCAAAAUCUGUUUUGGUGGACUGGUUAGGUAACUGAACAACAUAAAUCGACAAUGCUGCGAUGUGACCAAAAGACUAUCAUCUUCUUGAUCCACACGAAUGGAGAUACUACUGAGGUUGAGAUCCAUGACGGUCCACAAUGUCAUAAAAACUGGAACUAAACUGCACUUGAGAGAAGACAAUCAAUGGAGAAAAGAGGGAGAAGAACUAAAGAAUUGCUUCAUGAGAGAAGCCGAGUGGUCAUGAACUUGCGAGUUUGGAUUUUGAUUAGUGACUUCCUUUUCCGCCAUUUUGUAUUCUUAUAUUCUCUCUCCUCUGGUGCAGGAAUUACGGCUGAAUCAUCCUUCAAGUUUCACGGCAAAACAAAAGAUAGGGUAAUGAAAGAAAAAGGUGAAACACUUGGGUAGAGUUUUGUAUUCAGGCUAUUGUCUUUUUUGAAAGCUUCUUUGUUUGGGCUCAAUAUUUAAGCCCAAUGUUGGCCUUUAACGGGUUUACGUUAGCAUCAUUAUGUUAAGUUUCUAUCACUUCAUAAUUACUUUUAUUCAGCUACAUAAUUUAUUCUUAUGUGAUAUAGAUGUUCA